rnacentral:rRNA from 1 species
AACCUCCGCAAUGUACGAAAGUGCGACGGGGGGAUCCCAAGUGUUAUGCUUAAAGGUAUGACUUUUCAUUAGUGUAAAAAGCUUUUAGAAUAAGAGCUGGGCAAGACCGGUGCCAGCCGCCGCGGUAACACCGGCAGCUCGAGUGGUAGCUGUUUUUAUUGGGCCUAAAGCGUUCGUAGCCGGUUUAAUAAGUCUUUGGUGAAAGCUUGUAGCUUAACUAUAAGAAUUGCUGGAGAUACUAUUGGACUUGAAGUCGGGAGAGGUUAGAGGUACUACCGGGGUAGGGGUGAAAUCCUAUAAUCCUGGGAGGACCACCUGUGGCGAAGGCGUCUAACUGGAACGAUCUUGACGGUGAGUAACGAAAGCCAGGGGCGCGAACCGGAUUAGAUACCCGGGUAGUCCUGGCCAUAAACGAUGUGGACUUGGUGUUGGAAUGGCUUUGAGUUGUUCCGGUGCCGAAGGGAAGCUGUUAAGUCCACCGCCUGGGAAGUACGGUCGCAAGAUUGAAACUUAAAGGAAUU